GACGUAGGGCGCGAGCGUUGUCCGGAUUUAUUGGGCGUAAAGAGCUCGUAGGCGGCUUGUCGCGUCGACUGUGAAAACCCGUGGCUCAACCAUGUGGUCUGCAGUCGAUACGGGCAGGCUAGAAUUCGGUAGGGGAGACUGGAAUUCCUGGUGAGCGGUGAAAUGCGCAGAUAUCAGGAGGAACACCGGUGGCGAAGGCGGGUCUCUGGGCCGAUAUUGACGCUGGAGGAGCGAAAGCGUGGGGAGCGAACAGG
rnacentral:rRNA from 1 species